CUGGAGAGUCUUCUGGCUCUUCCUGUGCGCCUGUGCUCCUGAUGUAUCCUCUCAGUGACCGCGUCUGCAGCCCGAGGAGAAGUGAGGCAUUCAAGUCCUCUCUAGCUGGGCUCUGCCUGAGGCGAGGCUGCCCUACACUGACCCACCUCAGCAGCUUGCAGAGGUCCCAGGAGAGUCUAGUUUCUCUGGGGAGCCUUGAGAAGGAGCUGUGAUGAGAGAUGGAGGCAGUGACGUUCAGGGAUGUGGCCGUGGUCUUCAGUAAGGAGGAGAUGGGGUUGCUGGACGCUGCCCAGAGGAAGCUGUACCACGAUGUGAUGGUGGAGAACCUCAGGAACCUCCUGGCAGUGGGAGGCCAGAGUCCAAGUACAAUGAAGACAGUCGACACGCCAGGAGUAAGGUGCCUUUCACUGGGG
rnacentral:lncRNA from 1 species